GAAUUUCAAAAGGGUAGUGGUGGCUACUCUGUUCAAUGUUGGUAGAGAUUAGGGAAUAACAAAAGUAAUAAAAAUUUAUUGGGGAGGCUGCAAGAUGGCUCAGUGGGUUAAGGUGCUUCCACCCUGCCUGGUAACCCACAUACAAGUAGAGACAAAGAACUGACUCUGCAGAGCUGCCUCUGAGCUCUACAUAUACACCAUGGUAUGCAUACACAUGCACACACACACACGCACACACACACACACAUGCACUUAAACAUGCAAGUGAGUACAUACACAUAUACACACAGUAAUCAUUUUCAUAUAAAUUUAUUGAAAGGUGAAAGCAAGGAUACAAAUAUUUGUCUACUUGUGUUGGUAAAAGUAUCGUUCACAAGAUCUAAAAGGUGGAAAGCAAUCAAAAUGUUUCUUAAUGGGUGAAUGGAUAAAAAUGUGUAUAUAUACAUACGUGUGUAUAUAUAUGUGUGUGUGUAUGUAUAUGUAUGUAUGUGUAUAUAUGGAACAUGUUUCAUCCUCAAAAAGGAAGAAAAUCUGGACACGUGUUACAAAAUAGAUGAGCUUGGUAAUACUAUGCUAAGUGAAAUAAGCAAUUAGGAAAAGAAGUGUAUCAUCUCACUUACCUGGAGUGGUCAUGUCAUAGAGACAAAGCACAGCGACCAAGAGUGGGGAAUAAGGACUUGUUCUUAAGUAUCACUGGAUUUCAGGUGACACACUUCUUUUGAAGUGAUAGAGUAUGCUGGUUACACAGCAGUGGGCUUGGUGCCAGUGUGUUCAGUUAAUGGUGUGAGGGCAAGGAUGUCACCUAUAGUCCUAGAGUACCUACCUAGUGUGCUUCAGGUUCUGGACUCCUUCUUCAGAACCGUGUACAAAGCAGUCAUUUGUUCUAAGUGUUGGGAGAUAAAGUUAAGAGAAUCCUCAGAAAGUAAGGUGAAAAAUACUGGUGAGAGACACAUGGAUAAAUUAAAAAAAAAAUUAGUGGAUCAACCCCAGGACUGAACAUUAAAUAACAGGACUUGUAGGAGGAGAAAUCAGAGAGGAGGAAAUUGUCAAGAACAUAGAGGAAGCCAGGCAGUGGUGCCGCACACCUUUAAUCCCAGCACUUGGGAGGCAGAGGCAGGUGGAUUUCUGAGUUUGAGGCCAGCCUGGUCUACAGAGUGAGCUCCAGGACAGCCAGAGCUAUACGGAGAAACCCUGUCUCGAAACCGCCCCCCCACCCCCCAAAAAAAGUAAAGAAAAGAAAAGAUGAUAGAGGGAAAGCCUGGCACCUGAAGGAGCUGCUGCCUGGCUGCGGGGCCUGCCCUGUACAAGCAGCAGUGAGGAGAGCUGCACUUAGUGGUUUGCGCUUUAGAAAAAUAAACAUAAUAGAAAAUUGCAGAAGAUUUUAGAAAAACAACAGAGUUCCCCCAAGCAGAAUUUAGAAUGACAUGUAGCUUCUGUGUGGCAACUGUGGCAGCGUGCAAGCUUACUCUGCUGCUUCUAGGGGGGACAAACUUU
rnacentral:lncRNA from 1 species